rnacentral:rRNA from 1 species
AACGAACGCUGGCGGCAUGCCUAACACAUGCAAGUCGAACGAGACCUUCGGGUCUAGUGGCGCACGGGUGCGUAACGCGUGGGAACCUGCCUUUAGGUUCGGGAUAACAGUUGGAAACGACUGCUAAUACCGGAUGAUGUCUUCGGACCAAAGAUUUAUCGCCUUUAGAUGGGCCCGCGUUGGAUUAGCUAGUUGGUGGGGUAAAGGCCUACCAAGGCGACGAUCCAUAGCUGGUCUGAGAGGAUGAUCAGCCACACUGGGACUGAGACACGGCCCAGACUCCUACGGGAGGCAGCAGUGGGGAAUAUUGGACAAUGGGCGAAAGCCUGAUCCAGCAAUGCCGCGUGAGUGAUGAAGGCCUUAGGGUUGUAAAGCUCUUUUACCAGGGAUGAUAAUGACAGUACCUGGAGAAUAAGCUCCGGCUAACUCCGUGCCAGCAGCCGCGGUAAUACGGAGGGAGCUAGCGUUGUUCGGAAUUACUGGGCGUAAAGCGCACGUAGGCGGCUAUUUAAGUCAGGGGUGAAAUCCCGGGGCUCAACCCCGGAACUGCCUCUGAAACUGGAUAGCUAGAAUCUUGGAGAGGUCAGUGGAAUUCCGAGUGUAGAGGUGAAAUUCGUAGAUAUUCGGAAGAACACCAGUGGCGAAGGCGACUGACUGGACAAGUAUUGACGCUGAGGUGCGAAAGCGUGGGGAGCAAACAGG